UUGGGAUUUUUGGAGAUUUAAAAAAUUGAAGAUUGAAAUACCUAAAGUAUAUUUUUUAUAAAUAUAUAUAAUUUUAGUCAAAAUUAACGAUCAGGAGCAAUUUACUACAUGAUUUUAAAUUAUAGGAAUGUAUAUGAACAGACUAAAUAGUAUGAAUGUUUUUUGUACAAUUUUUAUAUAGCACUAAUUUUUUUUUUUUUUGCACUUUACCCUAAAUUAUAGUGUAAUAAUUUUAUAAAUCUAAAAUACUUUUUCACAUUUAAAGUAAAAGAUCAAUAGUUUAAGUCUUGUUGCAGCAAAGUGAAGAAGCUUAAAUGUAUUAGAAAAUAUGUAUUACAAGCCUUUGACUUUUCUAUUACAAUACGUAUCUGGUCCUCUCUCUUUCAAAAUUUUCUUUUUUGUUUCAAGUUCAAUCCAAUUUAUUUGGGCUCUAACCUAAUUGAUAUGAACGUGUGAUGUUUAUUUAGUUUAAUUUAUUGUCAAUUCUAUGUUUUUUUUUUUUUUUUGAAUUUGUCAAUUUUAUAUUGAUUUGCAAUGUACAUUGAGGAAAAUAAUAAUAAUAACAAAAGGUGUGGUUGAAAGUUAAUUUUAUUAUUUUUUUUUAGCGGAAAUAAGUGUCAAUGAGUAAAAAAUUUUUUGGAAUUUAGAACAACUAUUUUCUUGGUGGGUCCCAAUGGCCAACAGUUACACUUCUGUUAUCCUUUCACAUUCAACACCAAAUCCGAUACCUCCGACGAGUCGAGAACUAGAAGAUGAUCAGAACUGGAAAUGGGGGCAGUUUGCGAGGAACACACAGACUCGGAGUCAUUAAACCCACUUCAAGUCCUCGCCGGUGUGUCAGAUUUCCGACAAAAUGUUUGGCGAACUUCGACUAUGCCGUCCUGGGUCUAACCCCUUUGGCCUCCAAGUCCGACGUUAAAAAUGCCUUCAGGCGAUUGGCAUUGAAGUAUCACCCAGAUGUGAUCAAAGGAGAGAACAUGUCCGAAAAGCAUCAAAUGUUCGAGACUAUAAAAUCUGCAUACGAGCACUGUCAUCAUUUUGAAUUGCCAUUCAAUUCAACUAAAUCCAGUCAGAAGAAAGCCUCACACCACAACUAGGGAUUAGCUACACAAAUCCUAUUAGCUUGCAUAUAAUAUCAGCUAAUUAUUGCGCAUAUCGGAAUCACACUAGAGCCUAACGCAAAAGUUUGAAGAUGAAGAAGAGUUGCAGGCAAGUGGGGCUUAUGAUGAAGUUGACGAAUGGGAGGAGUGGAUGGGAUUUGAA